GAUGAAGAACGUAGCGAAAUGCGAUAAGUAGUGUGAAUUGCAGAAUUCCGUGAAUCAUCGAAUCUUUGAACGCACAUUGCGCCUUCUGGUAUUCCGGAAGGCAUGCCUGUUCGAGAGUCAUUAACAACCGUUUCGAUCCCUUUCUUUCAGAAAUUACAAAGAGGAAAAGGGUUUGGUUAUGGUGGAGGAGGGAAAGGGAGCGUUUAGCCUGUAAAAAAAGAGGCUGUGUUCCGCCUCCCCCCCAAAAUUGUACAGGCGGUCGUGUGCGCCCACGCAUCGAGGUGUUGUAAAAGCUGCCACGGCACUUUUCACCUGUGCAGUGCGAGAUUGGCCAGCCGGUUUAAAAACCCCUCCAAACAAUCAAAGGUUGAUCUCGGAUCAGGUAGGGAUACCCGCUGAACUUAAGCAUAUCAAUAAGCGGAGGA
rnacentral:misc_RNA from 1 species